ACCAGACCGGGAGGGGUUCUGCUCCCCAACCGGCGCCCCCGAAACCCCUUGACGGCCGGACCGCCGCUGCCGCUGCCGCCCGUCGCCGCGCCCCUCCUCGGCGUCCUCCGGAGGACGCCAUAGUACUGCGGCAUCCCCUCCACACCCGCUUCCAUCAAGCGGUGUUCACCAGCAGGGGGGAGGGGGGCUCGAUUCGGCUGCUGGGAGCGGAGGGAGGAGCGGCCAAGAUGUCGGAUUUCCAGACCUCCACGCACCGGGAGCGGUGGAUCUUCCAGCCGCAGGACCUGGUGAAUAAGUGGACUACGGCGAACCGGCGUUCAGCGGAGAUCCUCGCCCAGUAUGGGACGACGCGGUUGAAGGUGGACCCUGUUGAUGGCUCGAUAUCGAACCCAGAACCUGUGCCUGAUCAUGUUGUUGGGAGCUCGAGUGUGAAGCCUCUAUCCUGCGAAGAGGAGCAAGUGAUGCGGAUAUUUUACGAGCAAAAGAUUCAAGAAGUGUGCAGAGCAUUCAAAUUCCCCCACAAAAUUCAGGCUACAGCGAUAAUAUAUUUCAAGAGAUUCUAUCUACAGUGGUCUGUAAUGGAGCACCACCCAAAGCAUAUUAUGUUAACUUGUGUAUAUGCUUCUUGCAAAGUGGAAGAAAAUCAUGUGUCUGCUGAGGAACUUGGCAAAGGGAUUCAGCAGGAUCACCAGAUUAUUCUAAAUAAUGAGAUGAUUGUUCUGAAAUCUUUAGAUUUUGAUUUGAUCGUUUAUGCUCCAUAUCGUUCUAUCGAAGGAUUUAUUGAUGACAUGGAUGAUUUUUGUAGGGCAGGUAAUGGUGCACACCAACGGUUGAAGGAUUUGCAUCGAACUGCGAAUUCUGAGGUUGACACAAUGAUGUUGACUGAUGCACCUCUUCUCUAUACUCCUGGACAGUUGGCUUUGGCUGCUCUGUACAAGUCCAACGCUGCACUCAGUGUCCUUGAUUUUGAAAGAUACUUGGAAAGUGUUUUUUCAAGGCAACACUUUGAUUGUCCAGUCGAACAAUUUAUUCAGAUAAUCAGUUUAAUCAAUCACCUGGUUAGCCAGCUUCAACUACCUGGCACGAAAGAAAUGAGGCAUGCUGAUCGCAAGCUGAAGCAUUGUUUGGAUCCAAGCUCAAGCUCUCAUGAUGACCACAAGAAGAAAGAAAAGAAGUCAAAGCACAAAUCGAAAAGAACUGCCAGUGAUGCCCAGCUCAACAGCUAGAAAUCGUGCCGUUGGGCAGCUGUGCAGUGUAGGAACCAGCUCUGGAAAAUGUGGUGGCUUUCCGUUUGAUGAGGUUUCGAUUCCAAAUUUCUCCAGCCAUCAGAUUGGUGAUGCUCAGCUGAUCUCCUCAGCAGCCCAAGUCUUGGCCAAGGACAGGCAGUUUUCAGAUGAGGCGUCCUUUAGGCGAGUGCUGUGCUUUUUGUAACUCAAUAAUGAUUUUAUUAGAGCGGCUUAAAUCUUGGGCGCGAGGGGAGAGAAACUUGGAGAUGUAAACCAUUGGAUGCUAUUUUGUUGUAACUUGAUUUUAUUAGAGUAACAUAGGAUAACUCCAACAUUUCGUCUGCUU